rnacentral:tRNA from 1 species
CGACGAGCUCCGGGUUCGAGUCCCGGGCAACCCG